ACUAUUCUACAAUAUAGAAAAUAGUAAAAAUAAAGAAAAACCCUGGAAUGAGUAAGUGUCCAAGCUUUUGACAGGUAGUUUGUGUAUGUAUGUGAGAAACUUUAUUUGUUAUCAUUUAUGGCAAUGUUUUGCUCUAGAUUGCAGGAAAUGGCAGUUACAGGUGUUAAAAAAUACAACUAUCCCGGAGUCCAAAACCCUGGUGGAGAACCCUGAAAUAAGGUUUUGUGUUAUUGAUUUUUAUAAUAUAUACGAUUGGUAGGUCGUAAUAUGGAAGGUAAUAUGUUGCUAGAUUGUGUAAUGAACACGAUGGGAGACAGAGCUGGUUUAAAGAGCAGGGCGCAGGUGUUUAUUGGAGGAGGCAGGUAGCUGGGUCCAGGGGCAGGCAGAAGGUCAUACACAGGAGGAGGCAGGUAGCUGGGUUCAGGGGCAGGCAGAAGGUCAUACACAGGAGGAGGCAGAAGGUCAUACACAGGAGGAGGCAGGUAGCUGGGUUCAGGGGCAGGCAGAAGGUCAUACACAGGAGGAGGCAGGUAGCUGGGUCCAGGGGCAGGCAGAAGUUCAUACACAGGAGGAGGUAGGUAGCUGGGUCCAGGGGCAGGCAGAAGGUCAUACACAGGAGGAGGCAGGUAGCUGGGUCCAGGGGCAGGCAGAAGGUCAUACACAGGAGGAGGCAGGUAGCUGGGUCCAGGGGCAGGCAGAAGGUCAUACACAGGAGGAGGCAGGUAGCUGGGUCCAGGGGCAGGCAGAAGGUCAUACACAGGAGGAGGCAGGUAGCUGGGUCCAGGGGCAGGCAGAAGGUCAUACACAGGAGGAGGCAGGUAGCUGGGUCCAGGGGCAGGCAGAAGGUCAUACACAGGAGGAGGCAGGUAGCUGGGUCCAGGGGCAGGCAGAAGGUCAUACACAGGAGGUCCAAAAGGGCAACAGUGCAGGCAGGGAAAAGGCUGGUAACGUAGUCCGGGAGACCAGGCAAUAGGUAGAUAACAGGCUGAAGUACAGGUAGAUAAUAGGCAAAAACUAUCAUUCACGGGAAAAACAGCUCUCCGAAAGAAGUGUCACAAAACAAACAAUACCUCACAGUGAAAGAACUGAACUAAAUAGUGUGUGAUAAUGACAUACAGGUGUGUGAACAGGUGAUCAGAAUUCAGGUGAUUGGGAUCUGGAGAGUGAGCUGUGUUCAGGGGAUCUAUGUGUUUGAGUGUGAGAGCUGGAAGCAGACGUUACAGAUUGGCCCUAUCUAGAAGAGACCCCUACCCCCUGCUCUUGAGUCUAGACCCUUGUGUGGAUCUUGGAGAAUUGUAUGUGUGUAUAAGUAAUAUGUUAAUAACAUCACUUUUCCCUCUGACAGGAUAGGUGGAAGUUACACCCUAUUCCUAUCCAAUCACCUCUGAUCUAAGGUUUAGACUUGAGUAGGGGCUAGGGUUGUUUCUGGACGGGGCUAGAUUGUUUUGUGAUGUCAUUGAUAUUUUCUACCUGCCAGUAUCAACAUUAUCAUGCUCUAGUAAUGUUUCAAUACCAGUCUUGGUGGUUAUGGCUCAGCCAGGUUGAACUGUAGUGGUAGUUAGGGCUCAGCCAGGUUGAACUGUAGUGGUAGUUAGGGCUCAGCCAGGUUUUUUUCAUAUUUUGAAAGAUGGGGGGGUAAAUUACCUCCAUUUAAUUUACACUUCUUUGUUUUGUUCAUUUCUAUGAUGAUGUGAUUGGGAUCACACAGGUCAUUGGGGUUAUUCCAAAGAGCUAGAUCAUAAAGUUAGCCAGCAGCUAACUCUUAAUAAACAGUCACAGAUAUCUCUUGAUUUUUCUGUUUUAAUUUAGAAACAGAAACUUGACUUGUUUUUUAUUUUUUAUUUUAUUUUAGUUAAUUAUACUGUGCUAAUUUCAAGUGUAAUAAUUCUGGGAAAUGGGAUGUUAUUUCAGAAUAUUUAGAACAGUUAACAUGAUUAAUGUAUAUAUAUCCUGCUUUCUGGAUGAAAAAACCAUGAGGCCCUGCGUCGUCUGUGGUGCGUAUGGAUGAUGAACGUCAUGUUGACUACAG
ensembl:lncRNA